AAAUUGAAGAGUUUGAUCAUGGCUCAGAUUGAACGCUGGCGGCAGGCCUAACACAUGCAAGUCGAGCGGCAGCGGGAAAGUAGCUUGCUACUUUUGCCGGCGAGCGGCGGACGGGUGAGUAAUGCCUGGGGAUCUGCCCAGUCGAGGGGGAUAACAGUUGGAAACGACUGCUAAUACCGCAUACGCCCUACGGGGGAAAGCAGGGGACCUUCGGGCCUUGCGCGAUUGGAUGAACCCAGGUGGGAUUAGCUAGUUGGUGAGGUAAUGGCUCACCAAGGCGACGAUC
rnacentral:rRNA from 1 species